AUAUUUUUGCAAAAAAAAAGGUUCUUGCAAAAAAAAAGGUUCUUCCAGGGGGAGGCUAACUCAUUGCACUCUGGGUGUGCUGAUAUCUGCAAUGUCCCCAAAUGUGGGAUACUGGACUGCAUAAUUUUUUGUAGUGGGGGACUGUGUUCAUGCUUUUCCCUG